rnacentral:rRNA from 1 species
UGUAACAAGGUUUCCGUAGGUGAACCUGCGGAAGGAUCAUUACCGAGUUGAUUCGAGCUCCGGCUCGACUCUCCCACCCAAUGUGUACCUACCUCUGUUGCUUUGGCGGGCCGCGGUCCUCCGCACCGGCGCCCUUCGGGGGGCUGGCCAGCGCCCGCCAGAGGACCAUAAAACUCCAGUCAGUGAACUUCGCAGUCUGAAAAACAAGUUAAUAAACUAAAACUUUCAACAACGGAUCUCUUGGUUCUGGCAUCGAUGAAGAACGCAGCGAAAUGCGAUAAGUAAUGUGAAUUGCAGAAUUCAGUGAAUCAUCGAAUCUUUGAACGCACAUUGCGCCCCUUGGUAUUCCGAGGGGCAUGCCUGUUCGAGCGUCAUUUCAACCCUCAAGCUCUGCUUGGUAUUGGGCCUCGUCCUCCACGGACGCGCCUUAAAGACCUCGGCGGUGGCGUCUUGCCUCAAGCGUAGUAGAAAACACCUCGCUUUGGAGCGCACGGCGUCGCCCGCCGGACGAACCUUUGAAUUAUUUCUCAAGGUUGACCUCGGAUCAGGUAGGGAUACCCGCUGAACUUAA